ACCAUGCUCGCUAGAUUUGUGUGGUGUUUUUGUCUUUUUGAGCAGCAUUUGAUAGGCUCCACGUUAACAAAUAUGUGACAAAGUCGUUUCCUUUCAUUUUAUGACUCGUUCACCGCAUAGUCAUUACUGGAAAGUCAAGUUAGCAGCAAGCUAGGUCAGGAACCGGAGGACCGAAUCACUGAACGGGAAGUGACAAAACUCAGUCUUUCCCCCCUGCCUGCACGCUGGCUGCUUAUUGGCCACACGUGGAAAUGAGUGACAUACGCCAUGAUUCUGUUUCCGCUCCCUCCCCUGCCCGCGAUGAGGCUGGCGUCUGAUUGGUCGUGUGCGAUGUCAGAAGACGCUGCCGCUUGCUCAACGCCCUCCCACGCAGCGAACAAGCGCCACCAACUUCAUAGAACGAAUCAGUGCAGAUGGUGAUUAGUUCGGUCUCGUUCACCCAAACAAUUCGUUCAAAAAGAACGAAUCGUUCGCGACCGAUACAACACUAAUUUGUUGGACGUACAUGUUUUCGGUGGAAUUCAGCAAAGAAGAACAUUCAAGUGCCGACUCCACUUGAAGUGCUAUUUUGAUGGCGUCAGCGAGUGACAGAUCGUCAGAUUCCAUUAAGAGUUUUUCUCUCGUUUUUUCACAUGAUGUGCCUUCAAUCAUUUGAUCUCGUAUCAUUUGAUCCUGCAGCGCGCCGUAGUCACAGUGACUAGCAAGGCCGCGGAGGUCUGCAACGAAGGACUGAAUUGACUCGCCCGGUCGCUGAUGGCGCUUCCGCAGUUUGUAUCUGCGCAUCAGAACUCUCUGUUUCCCCGUGAAGUGAGCCGUCAGUAACAACACAGCCGCGUCGAACGUCGUAGCGGACCCAAGCGCUUCCAAAAUGCGCUGUCCUUCGAUGCCGAGGCAGUGGAUGAGAAGAGCCAAUUUGCGCCUAUCCGGCAUCUGCUCGUCGGUGAACCCCAUUGCAACAACGUAGGCAUUGAAACCUGUUAGCCAUCGGCCCCACGGCACGACGGGCUCUCCCGGUACCGGCAGGAACGGGUCCGGUGGAGGAAGGUUAAAGCCAGCCAUCUUCGUCGCCAAAUUGUUGUGUUACGGCACAAUAGAACAAAUGAAGCCUCACGAUGCUCGGCCCAGGAGCGAACCAGUUUGAUGGAAAGCCUCACUGCUUCAUGAGGCUUCAGUUUGCCAUCACUGCUAAACAGUGGAACACGCAGGAGUCAGGACACAGCAUCUUGGCGGACAGCAAAUUGUAAUGGUCCUGUACUGCUUGCCUGCCUGAACGCCUGCCUGCCCGUUCACCUGUACUAUCACCAAACUGCCCACCGGAUUCUCCAGACACUAUCUGCCACUCCCUCUAACCGUCAUUGAACCCUUGUUACCAUUGCAAGUUAGCCUCCCGUCUCUGCGCUUCGGUCCCCUGUUACACUAAAACCUUAACAAAUACAAUAUGUUGUUUAUAGGCUAAAACUCUGUCCUCUUUAAUGUGCAGUUGCUUGUUCUAAUUAAAGUUUUUUGUGAAAAACAAUGUAAUGUUAUGGUGCAUUAAUAUGCUAGCAUUAAUAAAU